GCGGCGAGGAUGAUGAACUGUAUGAAAUAUGAAACAUUUGAGGCCAUGUAAUAAGGUAAGGACAUCACCCGAUAUCUAUAGCUUCGCUCAUCCUGUUGGAUUGUGAUUCUGGCUGUCUUCAUCCUUCCAAAUACUUCUCUUGCCAACAUGACCCGUUGAGUAUUUGGCCAUGAUGAGAUAACCUUUAUUGAUUUUCACCAGCACUUUCACAGCCGCGCUGAAGUCGAUGACCACUGAAGCGCUUCAUGCUAAAGGCCAUCUAUUCUUUUUUCAUUUACAACUCAAGAAGGCUCGGUUGGAUGAAUAAAUAACAUGAUGGCUGUUUUUACAUUUGAAGCCUUUUCUCUAUUCUUUUCUUGUUCGUUGUGUUUCUGUGGAUUAAGUAAUCGCAUUUUUUAAAUUUUUGGGUGAUUUAGUUAUCGAAUUGUAUCUGCGUUUUGAACUUGAGGUAAUCCAAUCCAUUCCGAGUGGUUCUGGCCAUUCAGUUUCCUUAGGACAAAAGAAUUCCUUGCUCUUCAAAAACAUCCACGUUCGGUGGUUUAAAUUCAGUAUCGUUUCCUUUGUAUGUUUCGACUGUACCUGAUAUUGGGUCUAACUUGAUGAGCCCGUUCUGGAUCAUCAAAGAUUUGGAAUCAUCUUCGCGGGUAAACUAUUUAGGAACUGCAGAGUCUGCGAAUAGGCACCUAAAAGAAAUGGACGAUACCUUCUGUGUGGUAGUGUUCAACUGAGUCCCAAAAGUUGUAAUAUGCUUUUUGAUUUUGAAAUCAAACAAACAAAAAUCAAUCUGGUCAAUAGGUAACGACAAAUUCGACAUUUAAAUUGUGAGUCUCCCAUGGACGUUUUGCAAAGGGAAGAGUAGUGAUCGGCAGAUCGGCUGUUUUCGCGGUUACCAAUCACCAAUAAUUCGUAUGGGUUUAGAUGGGAUAGGAUGUUAUUCAAAUGGAAAAUAUGUAUAUUGAGUGGAGAAAAGAGCUGUUUUGAGUUACCCUUUCGAUUGAACUAAUCAACGGAUUCAUAUUUUUGUUCUUUAGAAAGAGGUUUGGAAGAAAGUGAGAUUUUUCGUAAACAAACACAACUAACGUAAAUUUGACAAACAGCUGAAAUUCAGGCGCACUGAUGGUCGAAUGUUUUUUUUUUUUUUUUUCACUGAAAAUGUUCCGUCUUACUAUUGUUUUGGACCUAAGGUUUUCCCUUCUUUGGAUUCCUUUCCGGUUCCUCUUUUUUGUUUUUCUUACAUUUUCUCCAUUAUUUCGCAAGCCACACCCCAGUCACAUCUUGGUUGCUUUUCCCAUUCAUGAUCAUUUUCUUUUCGUUAUCGGCUAAUCAAAAUUAUCCGUACUGAUGGUAGCAUGUGACAUUUCGAUGCAAAUUUCUAAACAUUUGAAUGUAAGUUUCGGCAAAAAAUUCUGGAACCCAGAAAUACUUAAGUGAUUUCGAAAGAAUUCGAUUAUAGACGUACUACUUUCAUUGAUCGAAUUUAAUUUUUAUAUUAAAUAAUAAGUUUAGAUACAGACAUUUCGGUGGUUUCAAUCAACUUUCAAUUUAGUACUGGGGCUGGACUGCGGGGGCUUUGUAGACCGGAGUGGCGGUGUAAGCCGGGGCCGGGGCAGAGUAUGUGGGAGCGGUGUAAGUGCUGGGAGCAGUGGGCUUGUAAGCAGGAGCGGAAUAGGUGGGAGCAGUGGGCCUGUAAGCUGGGGCGGAGUAGGUGGUAGCUUUGUAGUUGUUUGCGACGUAUUCGGGGUAUUUGGCUU